rnacentral:rRNA from 1 species
AGAGUUUGAUCCUGGCUCAGGAUGAACGCUAGCGGCAGGCUUAACACAUGCAAGUCGAGGGGCAGCGCGGAGUAGCAAUACUCUGGCGGCGACCGGCGGAAGGGUGCGUAACACGUGAGCAACUUGCCCGUGACAGGGGGAUAAGCGAUGGAAACGUCGUCUAACAUCCCGUAACACAAGGGGAGGCAUCUUCCCUUGUUGAAAACUCCGGUGGUCACGGAUAGGCUCGCGGGACAUUAGCUAGUUGGCGGGGCAACGGCCCACCAAGGCGACGAUGUCUAGGGGUUCUGAGAGGAAGGUCCCCCACACUGGAACUGAGACACGGUCCAGACUCCUACGGGAGGCAGCAGUGAGGAAUAUUGGACAAUGGAGGCAACUCUGAUCCAGCCAUGCCGCGUGAAGGACGAAGGCCCUAUGGGUCGUAAACUUCUUUUGUCAGGGAGCAAUAAGGGUCACGCGUGGCCCGACGAGAGUACCUGGUGAAUAAGCAUCGGCUAACUCCGUGCCAGCAGCCGCGGUAAUACGGAGGAUGCGAGCGUUAUCCGGAUUUAUUGGGUUUAAAGGGUGCGUAG